rnacentral:rRNA from 1 species
AGUGAACGCUGGCGGUAGGCCUAACACAUGCGAGUCGAACGGCAGCACAGUAAGAGCUUGCUCUUACGGGUGGCGAGUGGCGGACGGGUGAGGAAUACAUCGGAAUCUACUUUUUCGUGGGGGAUAACGUAGGGAAACUUACGCUAAUACCGCAUACGACCUACGGGUGAAAGCAGGGGAUCUUCGGACCUUGCGCGAUUGAAUGAGCCGAUGUCGGAUUAGCUAGUUGGCGGGGUAAAGGCCCACCAAGGCGACGAUCCGUAGCUGGUCUGAGAGGAUGGUCAGCCACACUGGAACUGAGACACGGUCCAGACUCCUACGGGAUGCAGCAGUGGGGAAUAUUGGACAAUGGGCGCAAGCCUGAUCCAGCCAUACCGCGUGGGUGAAGAAGGCCUUCGGGUUGUAAAGCCCUUUUGUUGGGAAAGAAAAGCAGCAGGUUAAUACCCCGCUGUUCUGACGGUACCCAAAGAAUAAGCACCGGCUAACUUCGUG